CAAUAGCGUAUAUUAAAGCUGUUGCAGUUAAAAGCUCGUAGUUGGAUCUCGGGUCCAGACUAGCGGUUCACCUCGCGGUGAUUACUGCCCGUUCUGACCUACCUACCGGUUGUCCCUUGGUGCUCUUGAUUGAGUGUCUCGGGUGGCCGGAACGUUUACUUUGAAAAAUUAGAGUGUUCAAAGCAGGCAGUACGCCUGAAUAAUGGUGCAUGGAAUAAUGGAAUAGGACCUCGGUUCUAUUUUGUUGGUUUUCGGAGCGGAGGUAAUGAUUAAUAGGGACGGCCGGGGGGCAUUCGUAUUACGGUGUUAGAGGUGAAAUUCUGGGAUCAUCGUAAGACGAACUACAGCGAAAGCAUUUGCCAAGAAUGUUUUCAUUAAUCAAGAACGAAAGUCAGAGGUUCGAAGAUGAUUAGAU
rnacentral:rRNA from 1 species